AUACAUUACAUGUCUACCAUACUUCAACUUCUAAUUACAUCAACUGUAAAUCCCAAGUUAAUUAAAACCUGUUGAGAAUUAGUAUGUGCAAAAUACCUGUUGUGGUGGGAGUUUUUUUGCUUGUUUUUAGGGAAUUUCUAAGAAUGGGAUGCACGUUUUUCAUGAACUCUGAUAUGGCUUAAUCAGUGGUAAUGUUUGUAUUGAAGCAUUAACUUUCCAAGUACAGUGUUCCUCUGUGUCUGAGUUGUACGUACUCCCAUGCUGUACUCAAGUGUCCCCAUUUCUUGCCAGAACAAAUACAAACAUAGUCUGGUGUUAUUAAUACUGUGUUGUGAGUUUUCACCUCUGCAAAUUCAUCAAGAGGUCCCUAUCUUAUUCAAAAGAGAAAACAAGCCAAGUCGCUGCCAAUUGUAGGUAUAAAUCACCCUGAUGAAUAUGUGAAACCCUAUCAAGUUUCAAGACAAUAGCUUAAGUAUUCACAGCUGAGUAUCACUCUAUCUGUUACUGGUCCAAAACUCCUUUCUGUUCCACAUACAGAAAGACUUUUGAUGUCAGCUGAAGUUUUGUGCGAAGACCCAAGUGCAGAAUAAGCAAAAAAUACUCAAAGCAAAGGUCUGUCUGUCUAUUGAACACUGCAGGUCAUUCUUGUUGCCCUUGGCUUCAAUGCCAGUAAUGACAGCAACAGGCAUAAAACGUGAGCCUGGAUGUAUUGGCAGCAUGUAGAAGGUUUGUUUUAUUGUCCUGCAUACAUUCAAAGUACAGGGGCUAUGAGGCAAAGCAAUUCAGUUUCACGGACUCUGAAGUGUCAGGAUGAAAAAAGUCUUUUCAAAUUGCUUUGAUUCUCAGUAAAUAAGAAAAUACCUUUCUGCCUCUGUAGGUUGCUGUGAUAGCAUUGUCCAGUGUGCAUGAGGUCACUGAGCUUGCUUGGGUUUCAUCUUAUUCAUAGAGCUCAGCAGUGCUGUUGUACUGGCUGUCCUGUGAGAACACUGCCAUCCUGCUCUCACAGCAAAGACAAAUAGGUCAGAGAUCCAAGAGUGAGGGAACACCACAUCUGAAACUUCUGCUCUCCCCUUGCCUUUUAGUACAUCUAAGUAUUUUGCACAUCUGUAGGUUGGAUUUGAGAGUACCUCUGUGUCAAGCACAGUUCCUAUCCUUUUAUUUUUUUCAAUAAAGCAAUCAUGGAAAAUGUUCAGUUACAGCACAUGUAUUAAUUAUAAUUAGAAUGCAUGCUAAUUAACUGGCCUUCUAAUGUGAAUUAAAUGCUGGUUCAGACAUUCAAAAUUAUUAAUAAAUUUUAAUCUUACAACUCAAAAAUUUGUAAAAUAAAUAACCUCCUUCUAAAGUAUAAACCCUAUUCUAAAAUACAUUACAGAUAACCACUCACAGAUAACCGAAGUGAGAACACUUCGGGUCCAGUGCUGGGUCUCCAGUUAAACACCAGAAGUUUGGGCAAGGAUCUUCCUGUUUGCAUCUCUGAACAUCCAGAUUAAAGCUAAGUUUCUGGUUUGGUUAUGGUAAAUCCUGGGUUUUGCAAGUCUCCAACAAGACAGUUUAGAAAAGAAUUCAGGUAGCACUGCAUGCACUGUAAUUUAAAAUACUGUAUGAAAAUUACUAUUGUAAAAAUACUGUCUGAAUUUGAAGAUCAUAAUGUAUGGAACCCUGGCAUGAUCAAUAAUAUUACAGAUGUUAAUUGAAAUACUGAAUAGUCGAUGCUCCUUUUGGAGUGCAGGUACUUCUGUGGUACACAAAAGACAAUUUCUAACUGUGAUUUGUGAGGUAUCUGCAGAACCACGUUGCAGUUUGUAAACAAUCUGAAAACAACUUUGUCUCCAAACCAUAAUAAAUUUAAUAAACCGGCACGAGGGAGAGAAUGAAAUACAUGUUCUGUAGGGCAACCACCGCACUUCUUGCAGCACCAGUUCUCCCUGCUGCAUGUUAAAUGGUACAAAUCCACAUGUUAAUUAUUAUCAUUCACUUUGAAUUUAUUGCUCUCAGUCUUUGACUACAAGAUAAAGAAUAAGGCAGCAGUUCCCAAAACACAUGAGAUUAGGCACUGGAACUCUGACAACUUGUGCAGGUUUUGCUUGUUUCCUGUUUGUAACUCUGAAGCUGGACAGAACACUUGUACAUUCCAAACGUGUUCAACAGCAGUUGUCUGGCCUUGAACUGAACUUCCUCCCAUUUAGAUGAGCUACCAGGAACUGGAAAAACCAGGAAAAGAUUUCAUAAUUCUCGUAAUAUUCAACCCUUUAAAAAAUGGACAAUCAAACUGUCUUCAUAUUUACCACAUGGUCUUACCAACUCAGAUGUCUUUAUUCAAACUCCCUUAUCAAUUUUCUAUUGUUCUGUGGCUGUGAUACAAUAUGCACACAUCUUUAUCUUUUAUCUGGAACCGUAUCUAGGUAAAACUGUCUCUGUUAAAUAGGGGUAUGCAGAAAGCUUUCUUUCUAAGAACUGAUAUGCUUGAUAUUGUGUUAGAUAUCAAUAUCAGCAUGUUUUGGCAACAUGUUCAACUUUCCACGAAUCAGAUCCCUGCAUUAGGGAAUUUCUGAAGAGAAGUACUUAACCUCAUCAAAUAGGGGAAAAAAAAAAAAAAUCUCUACUGGAUCAACAUGUCUCAGCAUAAAUGUAUUUUCUUUCUUUGCCUAACUUCCAUUUACACUUUGUCCUCGUGGGUUAAUGGUUUCUAUAUCUCACUGUACGAAAUCAUAAACGAUAGAUUUUUUUUUCCCAGAAUGCUAUUUCCUGGAUGUGAGUUCGUAAGAACAUAAGACGAGAGAUAAAGAGGUUUGAGUUUUGUCAUCUGCCCCACCCCUGGCUGGACUAAAAUUGCCAUAGAGCAGCUUACCUAAUUGCAAGUGGACUAUGGCAGUUGUUUUUCCUGCAGUGAGAGACCAAACAUUUAAAUCUUCUAUAGAAUAAACAUCUUCAAUUUUCAUCAAGUCUUCUUUAAUACGAUCCACAUUUAAAUGCCUUGGGACUCCUGUGAUACCAAACGUAAGAUAAAGUUAACUGUCCUCUGCAAAAAAAAAAAAGUCAUUGACAACUUUCAAAACAUUAAUUGUUUUAUAUAUGUAUUUCUUGCAAGCCCAUUCUCUGGAGCUCCUGAGGACUAGCUGGAAAAGCUCUGUAACAUACACUAAGACCACCUUUCAUCACUGUAAUAACAUCGUUAAUUCAGACAUCUUUAUAACAGCUGGGAUGCAAACAGAAGUCAGCAAUAAUUCAUAUGAAACAGAUGGGAUGGUGCAGGUCAAAGACUCUUGAAGACUGCUGCAACUUAGAUGAGUUGAACUGAAAUCUGAACUGAAGAACUGAAAAAAAGAACUGAAAUCCUAAAGCAAGAUCAACAAAUUCCAGACACAGCCCAUAUUGCUGGAGAUGGUGGUUGUGACAUCCAAGUGCCAGUGCUUCAUUUGACAUAUAGAAUCACAGAAUGGCCUGGGUUGAAAAGGACCACAAUGAUCAUCUAGUUUCAACCCCUUGCUAUGUGCAGGGUUGCCAACCACCAGACCAGGCUGCCCAGAGCCACAUCCAGCCUGGCCUUGAAACACAUGAAACGCUGCACGCUGUGAGGAUCUUACCUUCCAAAAUUAUAACUCCUGUAUCACACAGAAUUCGGACUGUUGUGAAAACUACCAGUAUGGAAAACACAUAUGUACAAAUAGGAUCAGCAAUCUUGUAUUCUGGCUGGAAAGGAAGGUCCAGAGUGUUAAAAAGAUGCAUGAAAGCAACCUUCAUCCAAAUGGGGAGUCAAGGACAGGCAGUGUCGUCUUCCAUCUGCAUGAAGAUAACCCCAUUUUCUCAGAAAAGACCACAUCUCCAGCGUCAGCUCAACUAUUACUUCAUUUCUCAUUUUACUUUGAGAUCAUUCAAACUGGAGAUUCUAGCAAGCAGAGCAUGCAGCUGGCGUGCCACUUGGCAGGCUUCAGGCUCCAGCCAACAUAUCUCGAGUAAAGGUAUCUUUGUACACAAUUAAAAGCCUCUUAGUGAAGAGGCUGACCACGAGGAAAGAGUGAAGGGAAAUUCACAGCAGGCUGACUGCUUUCAAGAUCAGUGAAAAACAUGUGUGCAGCCAUCUAUCUGGGAGUGCCCACCUGCAGAGCUAGGCCCUUCUUCCCAGCCACACAAAUAGCAAGGUUGACACUGCGGGGGUUCCUUGUUCUGCCUGUAACUACUGACUGCACCUACCUCUGUUCCACCUGUUCCUGUCCCCCAACCCCUUUAUUAAGAUGUCUCUAAGUCUCAGAGUGAAACUAAGAGGUUGAAACUCUGCACAGGCCAUCACAGCUCCAAGAUAAUUUGCUUUCUCACAUAAUUUCAGAAGGUAUGUCCUAGGAAUGUGCAACUCAGCCUGUUCUAUUGUCAGCACAGAAUAAAACAAUUACGUCUAAGGACAUUCACUUCAAUGCUUUCUGCAUAUGAUCAUUUACAGUACAUAUGUUAAUCCAUGAGUAUGAAAUUGAGAAGUGCUUCAGCCCAAGGUAAGCCAACUCCAUUUCAGCUAGUCUCUCCAGAGACUACAUAAACAGAGAAUUCAGAUAUUAAAAGUAGUCUUACUGGAGCACGUGAUCGAGAAAGUAUCAUUGAGAUGAAUGAAAUUCUGAAUUUGAAGGCCCUCUGUUUCCUACUACAUAGGUUCAUUGCUUGGCGAAGCGCUGCCCGGGGGCUGCUGAAACACAGUCAACAACUUGAGAGGGAGAAAACAGGAAAACAGACAUCUACAACUUUCAUGAAGAAGCCUUGAAAGCUCACCACUGUUCUCACCAACCUGUGAAGGACAGCAGUCCUCCCUGUGAAUGAUCAAUUAGAAAUCUCUGAACAUAACUGAAUGCAUCAAAAAGCUGUCAAGGAAGGUGACUGGAUUUGCGUUGUUUUCUGUUUCUUCAUGCAAAACAGUUCCCACAAAGCGAUCUGACUUCUACAGUGACUGUUCUUCAAAUUAAGCAACCAACACUGAUGUGGGCUGGAUUCAUGAGCUUGGCAGUAAUUGGAAAAAAACAUAUGCCAAUUGAGAUUUCACAAAGCAGCUGCUGGAACACAAUUUCCUUCAUCUUGACAUUGGUACCAGGCAGCAGAAAGUUUUCUACCAAAUUGUCUGACAGGCUCUUCUGCCCUUCCUGCAGAAAUUCAAAUCUGGCAAAGAUAACAGGAAGAGGUCUGUUAAUGUCCCACAUAGCCAAAGUCUCCCAAAUACUUUGGCUAUAGGUUUGUCUAAAAAGUGCCGAAAUUUCAAACCAAAUGGGUCAGAACACAACCCUGGGCCAGAGUGAAAUACACAGAACAGUUAGUGUGCUGACUUAGGGCUUGCACGCUUCUCUGCUGCUCUUCUUGCACACUUAUUCUGCUGCUGACUGCCUGCCAUAUGACAAGGUAUUCACGUCAAGACCUACAAAAGUGCACAGAUGCCCAAGUCCUACUUGUUCUCUCAGGAAAUUGGAUGCCUGAAUAUUUUAUGUGUCUGGGCCUCAGCGCUGUCUGCCGCAGUGCCCAAAUACUGCACCAGUGCUGGUAACCGCAUACAGGAACCUGAGAAUGAUGAGUCCACACUACAGCAGCAAUGCUUCAUAAGGAGAAAUCAGUCACUCUGACCUGAGCCUGCAGAAGUCCUGGUUGUAAGGGAGAAACAGUGGAUAAAGUGACAGUGAUAGAGUAUUUUUCCUCUCAACACCUAUUAUUUCUGGAGCUGACCAGGCACUAGAUAUGGAGAUAUCUACAACAGUGUGAAAACACAGACUCUGUGACUUCAGCAUCAAGCUGCCAACAGCUCAGGAACAUUACUCAGCAUUGUGCCCUUCAGAUGGACUAAAUUCAGUGUGUAUCAGAAUGCUAUGUGAGUACAAUUAAAUGAAGUCACGCUUACCACAAAUGAUGUCCACAGCUGAGAAGCAACACUGCACUAACACUAAUCCCUCAUCAAAUUUACCUGAGUUCACACUGUGCCAAAAUCUCAGCCAGAGAAAAAAGAGCCAGAGGCAAAUGAAGGCAUUCAACCAGAUCCCUGCAAGCCUGAAGCCGAGUGCUGAUCUGUGAUGAGCUGAUGCAUUGUGCCAGUGUUACUAACGAUUAACCGCACAUUGAAAGCGAGGUGCUGAGAGACAAAGCCACUGUUUUCUCUUAACCCACAUUCCUGAAACAAGGCCCAAACAAAACUGUGGUGCAGAUGCAGUCAGUUAUCUGCUCUCCUUCUGAAAAAAAUGGCCAUUUCUCAUACCACUUUUUAUUUUGCUCUAUGAAUGUGGGACAAACGGUAUCAUUUUGUGGUACAAUACCUGAGGCAUCUUUCCUUCAAAUUUAUUUGCUUCUGUUUUUUUGGCUGGUGAAUUACGGCCACUAAAUUCACUAAAUUUUCUAUUAUUUGGACCUGUGUGUUAAAAUGUGAGCAAUUUGAAUGAAAUUAGUUGUCAAUCAUUGUCUGCUGCUAAAAAGAUUGGGCUCAAGUUAACAGACUGUCUAAUAACUGAUGGUGCAGUGCAUCCCAUCCAGGCACUGUGCAUCACUCCCUGCUGCUUCAAACCAGCCAAAAUGAAGGAGUUUCAGCAUUCUGCAGGUGGCUGAGCAGCCUCAAGUGCUUGCACUGAACAUCAUGGGCAGAUCAAAAACCAGGUGGUAACAGGCACUGAUACUGCAUUGGUAAGUGAUCAAAGAUAAAUAGUACACCUCGUAAAAAUGGGUAGAUAAUGGCAAAGGCAUAACAUUUAAUACCAUAACAUUUAAUACCAUCCAGAGGACUUCAGACCUUAAAUUUUAUGUUAAGCCCUGUCACUGUAGCCACUAAAUACAGUUGUGUUUUGUACAGACUGCUCUAUUAUGCACAGGUUCUACUCAACCUUAAUAGCAAAUGACAGCAUGCCUUUAUGAGAGAGUAAUAAAAGCUGAACUUGAGCACCAGACUCACUCUUCUAGGUAAAACCAGCAGAUCUUUUCCAAGUACUAACAAACAAAAGCCACAAAGAACGUGAUUUAACCAAGGAACUUGCACUGUGAACUGCUAACGUGAUUUAACCAAGGAACUUAACACUGUGAAGUGUUAAAACGUUGCUUGUUCUAACUUGGGUCAUAUGUUUUAUGUCUGGUUGGAGCACACACUGGUCCAGAGCACCGUGGGACAUCAGGAAGUUGUCAAGAGAGCACUCUGCACUGCACUGUUGGGCAGUUUGUCUUCCAGAGUGCAUCACUGGAUCUGACAGCUAGAGAUAAAUCCCAAUAUAGGUUUUGUCGUUAUGUUAACGUCACUCUUGGAAACUCUAUUUGCCUGCUGUCCUUGCAAACACAGCAAGAUUUUAUGGCAAUAAUUAAAAAACACUGGAGAUAAAAUUACCCAUCCUUCAUGCAUACCCGUGCGACAGCACGCAGUCCUCCCUUGACAAUCAGACCUUAGAAACUUACAGAACAGGAGCAAUACAAAGCUGCGAGCCAACAAAAUGCCCACUUUGUGCCAUUCCGGGGAGGCGAUGAGCUUCAGGUAAGGAAGGUGCAAGUUCUCCUUUCUUUCCUUGCACGGAAAGCACGACUGGACUUCGCUCCCGCUCCCCCCGGGGCUUAUCGCUAAUCGCUCCGAGCUGCAAACGGUUCCCUUCUUACGCAAAAGCGUAAAACCGAGGCCGGAGCAGCGCCCGACUCACCUACGAGCUCCCCCGUCAUGAAGAGCAGAU